UCAAUUAAAAGAUCACAUGCAAUCAAUUUAUUUCAUAAAUAAAUAAAAUAAAAGUCUUCACUAAAAUUAAAAUCAAAACCAUCCUGUGCUAAUACAGACAUGAAAAUCAAAUUUUAAUUAGCUAUAAGAACAAAAUAAUAGUCUUUUAGAUCUAAUCUAAAUCCUGACAGUAAUCAAAGAGGAUAAGUACCAACGACUUCUACAGUAACUUUUGCUCCAUUGCCGACCUAAAGAAUUAUGUCACCUUCCCUCAACCUCCUACUUUCUAUUAGACCCUGCAUUAAAGUACAUAUAUGAACAUUAGAAUCAGAGUCCAAUACCCA
rnacentral:lncRNA from 1 species